UACACAUGCAGUCGAACGAAGGAACACAACUUAGUGGCAGACGGGUGAGUAACAUGUAGGUAUCUGCCCUUUGGCCUGGAAUAACACGAGGAAACUUGUGCUAAUACCGGAUAAGUCGUUACGGAGAAAGCUUUAUGCACCAUUGGAUGAGCCUGCACUUGAUUAGUUUGUUGGUGGGGUAAUGGCCUACCAAGACUUUGAUCAAUAGCUGAUUUGAGAGGAUGAUCAACCACAUUGGGACUGAGACACGGCCCAAACUCCUACGGGAGGCAGCAGUGGGGAAUCUUGCACAAUGGAGGAAACUCUGAUGCAGCGAUGCCGCGUGAGUGAAGAAGGCCUUUGGGUUGUAAAGCUCUUUCGUCGGGGAAGAAAAUGACUGUACCCGAAUAAGAAGGUCCGGCUAACUUCGUGCCAGCAGCCGCGGUAAUACGAAGGGACCUAGCGUAAUUCGGAAUUACUGGGCUUAAAGAGUUCGUAGGUGGUUGAAAAAGUUGGUGGUGAAAUCCCAGAGCUUAACUCUGGAACUGCCAUCAAAACUUUUCAGCUAGAGUAUGAUAGAGGAAAGCAGAAUUUCUAGUGUAGAGGUGAAAUUCGUAGAUAUUAGAAAGAAUACCAAUUACGAAGGCAGCUUUCUGGAUCAUUACUGACACUGAGGAACGAAAGCAUGGGUAGCGAAGAGGAUUAGAUACCCUCGUAGUCCAUGCCGUAAACGAUGUGUGUUAGACGUUGGAAAUUUAUUUUCAGUGUCGCAGCGAAAGCGAUAAACACACCGCCUGGGGAGUACGACCGCAAGGUUAAAACUCAAAUGAAUUGACGGGGACCCGCACAAGUAGUGGAGCAUGUGGUUUAAUUCGAAGAUACGCGCAGAACCUUACCAACACUUGACAUGUUCGUCGCGACUCUAAGAGAUUAGAGUUUUCGGUUCGGCCGGACGAAACACAGGUGCUGCAUGGCUGCCGUCAGCUCGUGUCGUGAGAUGUUGGGUUAAGUCCCGCAACGAGCGCAACCCUCACUUUUAGUUGCCAUCAUUAAGUUGGGCACUCUGAAAGAACUGCCAGUGAUAAGCUGGAGGAAGGUGGGGAUGACGUCAAGUCCUCAUGGCCCUUACGUGUUGGGCUACACACGUGCUACAAUGGUAUCUACAACAGGAAGCAAGACGGCGACGUCAAGCAAAUCCUUAAAAGAUACCUCAGUUCGGAUUGCACUCUGCAACUCGAGUGCAUGAAGCUGGAAUUACUAGUAAUCGUGGAUCAGCGUGCCACGGUGAAUGCGUUCCCGGGUCUUGUACACACCGCCCGUCACACCAUGGGAGUUGGUUCUACUAUAAGGCAACGUGUACACCAUGCACGCAGCGGGAACUACCCA
rnacentral:rRNA from 1 species